rnacentral:rRNA from 1 species
GUUGUAUGGUUAAGUGACUAAGCGUACACGGUGGAUGCCUUGGCAGUCAGAGGCGAUGAAAGACGUAGUAACUUGCGAUAAGCCCAGAUUAGGUAGUAACAACCAUUUGAGUCUGGGAUUUCUGAAUGGGGAAACCCACGUGCAUAAGCACGUAUCCUUACCUGAAUACAUAGGGUAAGGAGGCGAACCGGGGGAACUGAAACAUCUAAGUACCCCGAGGAAAAGAAAUCAACCGAGAUUCCGAAAGUAGCGGCGAGCGAAAUUGGACUAGCCCUUAAGCUUUACACGCGUUAGACGAACGGUCUGGAAAGUCCGACGAUACAGGGUGAUAGUCCCGUAGUUGACGACGUGUGUUCAGUGAAAUCGAGUAGGGCGGGACACGUGAUAUCCUGUCUGAAUAUGGGGGGACCAUCCUCCAAGGCUAAAUACUACUGACUGACCGAUAGUGAACCAGUACCGUGAGGGAAAGGCGAAAAGAACCCCUGUGAGGGGAGUGAAAUAGAACCUGAAACCGUGUACGUACAAGCAGUAGGAGCAGGCUUUGUCCUGUGACUGCGUACCUUUUGUAUAAUGGGUCAGCGACUUAUAUUCAGUGGCAAGGUUAACCAUCUAGGGGAGCCGUAGGGAAACCGAGUCUUAACUGGGCGUUCAGUCUCUGGAUAUAGACCCGAAACCAGGUGAUCUAGCCAUGGGCAGGUUGAAGGUUGAGUAACAUCAACUGGAGGACCGAACCGACUAAUGUUGAAAAAUUAGCGGAUGACUUGUGGCUAGGGGUGAAAGGCCAAUCAAACCUGGAGAUAGCUGGUUCUCCCCGAAAGCUAUUUAGGUAGCGCCUCGGACGAAUACUACUGGGGGUAGAGCACUGUUAAGGCUAGGGGGUCAUCCCGACUUACCAACCCUUUGCAAACUCCGAAUACCAGUAAGUACUAUCCGGGAGACACACGGCGGGUGCUAACGUCCGUCGUGGAGAGGGAAACAACCCAGACCGCCAGCUAAGGUCCCAAAUUACUACUAAGUGGGAAACGAUGUGGGAAGGCUCAGACAGCCAGGAUGUUGGCUUAGAAGCAGCCAUCAUUUAAAGAAAGCGUAAUAGCUCACUGGUCGAGUCGGCCUGCGCGGAAGAUGUAACGGGGCUAAGUAGUAAACCGAAGCUGCGGCAAUGUGCUUUUGCACAUUGGGUAGGGGAGCGUUCUGUAAGCGGUUGAAGGUGUGUGGUAACGCAUGCUGGACGUAUCAGAAGUGCGAAUGCUGACAUGAGUAACGAUAAAGGGGGUGAAAAACCUCCUCGCCGGAAGACCAAGGGUUCCUGUCCAACGUUAAUCGGGGCAGGGUAAGUCGACCCCUAAGGCGAGGCCGAAAGGCGUAGUCGAUGGGAAACGGGUUAAUAUUCCCGUACUUCUUACAAUUGCGAUGGGGGGACGGAGAAGGCUAGGUGGGCCUGGCGACGGUUGUCCAGGUUCAAGUGCGUAGGCUUAAGAGUUAGGUAAAUCCGGCUCUUUCUAAGGCUGAGACACGACGUCGAGCACCUACGGGUGUGAAGUCAUUGAUGCCAUGCUUCCAGGAAAAGCCUCUAAGCUUCAGAUUGUAAGGAAUCGUACCCCAAACCGACACAGGUGGUCGGGUAGAGAAUACCAAGGCGCUUGAGAGAACUCGGGUGAAGGAACUAGGCAAAAUGGUACCGUAACUUCGGGAGAAGGUACGCUCUUGAUGGUGAAGUCCCUUGCGGAUGGAGCUGACGAGAGUCGCAGAUACCAGGUGGCUGCAACUGUUUAUUAAAAACACAGCACUGUGCAAAAUCGUAAGAUGACGUAUACGGUGUGACGCCUGCCCGGUGCCGGAAGGUUAAUUGAUGGGGUUAGACUUCGGUCGAAGCUCUUGAUCGAAGCCCCGGUAAACGGCGGCCGUAACUAUAACGGUCCUAAGGUAGCGAAAUUCCUUGUCGGGUAAGUUCCGACCUGCACGAAUGGCGUAAUGAUGGCCACGCUGUCUCCACCCGAGACUCAGUGAAAUUGAAAUCGCUGUGAAGAUGCAGUGUACCCGCGGCUAGACGGAAAGACCCCGUGAACCUUUACUACAGCUUGGCACUGAACAUUGACCCUACAUGUGUAGGAUAGGUGGGAGGCUUUGAAGCACGUACGCCAGUAUGUGUGGAGCCGUCCUUGAAAUACCACCCUUGUAGUGUUGAUGUUCUAACGUCGACCCCUAAUCGGGGUUGCGGACAGUGCCUGGUGGGUAGUUUGACUGGGGCGGUCUCCUCCCAAAGAGUAACGGAGGAGCACGAAGGUGGGCUAAUCACGGUUGGACAUCGUGAGGUUAGUGCAAUGGCAUAAGCCCGCUUGACUGCGAGAAUGACAAUUCGAGCAGGUGCGAAAGCAGGUCAUAGUGAUCCGGUGGUUCUGAAUGGAAGGGCCAUCGCUCAACGGAUAAAAGGUACUCCGGGGAUAACAGGCUGAUACCGCCCAAGAGUUCAUAUCGACGGCGGUGUUUGGCACCUCGAUGUCGGCUCAUCACAUCCUGGGGCUGAAGUCGGUCCCAAGGGUAUGGCUGUUCGCCAUUUAAAGUGGUACGCGAGCUGGGUUUAGAACGUCGUGAGACAGUUCGGUCCCUAUCUGCCGUGGGCGUUGGAAGAUUGAAGGGGGCUGCUCCUAGUACGAGAGGACCGGAGUGGACGAACCUCUGGUGUUCGGGUUGUGUCGCCAGACGCAUUGCCCGGUAGCUAAGUUCGGAAUCGAUAACCGCUGAAAGCAUCUAAGCGGGAAGCGAGCCCUGAGAUGAGUCUUCCCUGAUACUUUAAGUAUCCUAAAGGGUUGUCGGAGACUACGACGUUGAUAGGUCAGGUGUGUAAGUGCUGUGAGGCAUUGAGCUAACUGAUACUAAUUGCCCGUGAGGCUUAACCAUACAACAC